rnacentral:rRNA from 1 species
AGCGAACGCUGGCGGCAGGCUUAACACAUGCAAGUCGAGCGGGCGUAGCAAUACGUCAGCGGCAGACGGGUGAGUAACGCGUGGGAACAUACCUCUUGGUUCGGAACAACACAGGGAAACUUGUGCUAAUACCGGAUAAGCCCUUACGGGGAAAGAUUUAUCGCCGAGAGAUUGGCCCGCGUCUGAUUAGCUAGUUGGUGAGGUAACGGCUCACCAAGGCGACGAUCAGUAGCNGGUCUGAGAGGAUGAUCAGCCACAUUGGGACUGAGACACGGCCCAAACUCCUACGGGAGGCAGCAGUGGGGAAUAUUGGACAAUGGGCGCAAGCCUGAUCCAGCCAUGCCGCGUGAGUGAUGAAGGCCCUAGGGUUGUAAAGCUCUUUUGUGCGGGAAGAUAAUGACGGUACCGCAAGAAUAAGCCCCGGCUAACUUCGUGCCAGCCGCCGCCGUAAC